GGCUAGGUGGCGGAGUGGUUAACGCGGUAGACUCGAAUGCCAAGGAAGACAUGUCCAGUGUGUCCCUUGAGUUCUUGGUGAUCUACUUCCUUCGGGAGCGUCUGUUCGAAUCAGGCCCUAGUCG